rnacentral:tRNA from 1 species
UGGGGUUUUGGCUCAGAGGUAGAGCGCUCGCCUAGCAUGUGCGAGGCCCUGGGUUCAAUCCUCAGCACCACAU